rnacentral:rRNA from 1 species
GACGAACGCUGGCGGCGUGGAUUGGGCAUGCAAGUCGAACGGUAUCAUCCUUUCGGGGGUGAGAGAGUGGCGAACUGGUGAGUAACACGUAGGUUAUCUACCCUCAAGACGGGGACAACCCAGGGAAACUUGGGCUAAUACCGGAUGUGAGCAACUUUUAGUUGUUUGAAAGGUGGCGUAAGCUGUCGCUUGGGGAUGAGCCUGCGUCCUAUUAGUUAGUUGGUGAGGUAACGGCUCACCUAGGCAAUGAUAGGUAGGCGGCCUUAACGGGUGGUCGCCCACACUGGGAUUGAGAUACGGCCCAGACUCCUACGGGAGGCAGCAGUCGAGAAUAGUCUACAAUGGUCGGAAGACUGAUAGUGCGACGCCGCGUGAACGAUGAAUCCCUUCGGGGUGUUAAAGUUCUUUUAUAUGUGAGCAGUGCUUCUUAUAUUAACAGUAUGGGGAGAGAGAUAUUAGCAUAUGAAUAAGCAACGGCUAACUCCGUGCCAGCACGCCGACGGU